UACGGAGGGUGCAAGCGUUAAUCGGAAUUACUGGGCGUAAAGCGCGCGUAGGCGGCUUUGUAAGUUAGAGGUGAAAGCCCGGGGCUCAACUCCGGAACUGCCUUUAAGACUGCAUCGCUUGAAUCCGGGAGAGGUGAGUGGAAUUCCGAGUGUAGAGGUGAAAUUCGUAGAUAUUCGGAAGAACACCAGUGGCGAAGGCGGCUCACUGGACCGGUAUUGACGCUGAGGUGCGAAAGCGUGGGGAGCAAACAGG
rnacentral:rRNA from 1 species